rnacentral:rRNA from 1 species
AGGCAGAUCGAACGGAACUUCCGAUUAAUUGAUUAUGACGCACUUGUACUGAUUGAGAUUUUAACACGAUGUUGUGGUGAACACAACGGGUUAGUAACACGAGAAGUAACCGUGACCCAGAAGUAUAGGGAUAACACACUGGUCAACAGAUGCUAGUACCGUAUAACACGAGGAAAACCUGCAUGGCGUUUCUUUUAAAAGAUGGAUCUGCUAUCACUUGUGGAUGGACCCGAGCGCGUAUUACGUAGUUGGUGAGGUAAAGGAUCACCAAGGCAGUGAUACGUACCGCGACCUGAGAGGGUACAUCGUGCCAGCAUGUGGAGACUGAAGACACGGAUCCAGACUCGUACGGGAGGCAGCUGUAGGGAAGCUUCCACGAUGGACGCAAGUCUGAUGGAGCAACGCCGCGUGAGUGAAGAAGGAUUUCGGCUCGUAAAGCUCUGUUGUUAUUGAAGAACGUGGGUAAGAAUAACUGUUUACCCUCUGACGGUAUUUAACCAGAAAGCCACGGCUAACUACGUGCCAUCAGCCGCGGUGAUACGUAGGUGGCAAGCGUUAUCCGGAUUUAUUGGACGUAAAGCGAGCGCAGGCGGUCUGUUAACUCUAAUGUGAUAAGCCUCUCGGCUCAACCGAAGAAGAGCAUUGGAAAACUGGGAGACUUGAGUGCAAAAGAGGACAGUGGAACUCCAUGUG